rnacentral:rRNA from 1 species
GACGAACGCUGGCGGCGUGCUUAACACAUGCAAGUCGAACGGAAAGGCCCUGCUUUUGUGGGGUGCUCGAGUGGCGAACGGGUGAGUAACACGUGAGUAACCUGCCCUUGACUUUGGGAUAACUUCAGGAAACUGGGGCUAAUACCGGAUAGGAGCUCCUGCUGCAUGGUGGGGGUUGGAAAGUUUCGGCGGGUGGGGAUGGACUCGCGGCUUAUCAGCUUGUUGGUGGGGUAGUGGCUUACCAAGGCUUUGACGGGUAGCCGGCCUGAGAGGGUGACCGGCCACAUUGGGACUGAGAUACGGCCCAGACUCCUACGGGAGGCAGCAGUGGGGAAUAUUGCACAAUGGGCGGAAGCCUGAUGCAGCAACGCCGCGUGCGGGAUGACGGCCUUCGGGGUGUAAACCGCUUUCGCCUGUGACGAAGCGUGAGUGACGGUAAUGGGUAAAGAAGCACCGGCUAACUACGUG